CAUAGCUUUGCAAGAAGUUGUUAUAUUCUUUGCUUUUUCUUUUCUUGUUGCUUUUGCUUCUGCUAUCGUGCUUUCUUUGACUAAAACAGUAAGUGAAAUAGUUCGCUCUGCGAAAUGAUGGUUCCAAUGCAAUAAUACAGAAGUAAA
rnacentral:ribozyme from 15 species